ACCCUGCAGGCCGGGUGCUAUGACAGACGCCUUGUUGUUCUGUCAGCAGGGCUGCUAUGUUUCAUACACUGCUGUUGGGUCUCUGUCUGAUACCAAUAUUUUGUACAUUUAUUGUAAUUCAGUUCCACUAAUUUAAUUAAUGUGUUUUUAGGUGCUUUUUCAGACUUGAUUGUAUUGAUGAGUGGGAUUGCAUGGAACUGAAUCAUAUUUAAUUUCAUUGUUUUAGACAAGCCCAUAGACCAAGCCCAUUCAAUUCAUACGGUGAAUGUGGAGAAUAAGUGUUAUGACUAAAAACAUAGUUAGCUAUGAAUAGACAGCCUCAAACUGUCUGGUCUUGGUUUUAUUCUGUGUGUAUGUCUGUUCUCCUCCAGCCCAACGAUGCCCUGGUCUACAAGCGGUGGAGGACUACAGAACAGAAGGUGAACUCCAAGAGGCACCUGAGGAUUGAGAUGAGCCAUCCCCAUAGUAGUGGUCGGUUUUAAUCAAAAACAUGAAGCGCAUGCAGCACUACAGGAUCAGGGUUUCCUACGCCGGCUCUAGAGUGAAUAUCUAUGUUUUUGUACCAGGGGGCCAUACUGUGAUUUGAAUAUGACGAUUGACUUUAUUGAUUAAACAUAAAUUAAAAAAUAUCACUGGGACUUAUUUGAAAUCCUCAGUGACAUUCCCCCCUGAUGUGGAAAUGAUUUGUGAUUGUGUCGUCUGUAAUAAUUAUAGUUGGUAUGACAGCUCACUUAUUUCAAAGUAAAUACGAUCUCUGUGCUCUGUUGCCUACACAUGCCAGGUAUGCUUUUUGAUUGUCAUUUUUAUUAAAUUAAAGAUGACAAUUUAUGCAAUUUAUGCAGUUGUAUUAGUCUCGUAAAUGUCCAAUAGUGUUGACUGCGUUUUAAUUUAAUUGUAAAAUUGCUGAUACGACGAGAACUUGUGGAAACUUUUAACUAUUGUGCGUCGUCAUCAAAAGACAAGGCUCUGCAGCAAUUUACCAAUCAAUCAGUUGAAAUUGAAUGUGUGUUUUGACGUUCAACGACAUUUCUAUUUCAGAUUACAGUAGUGUAUAUCGAUUAGGACCUAGCCUAGU
rnacentral:lncRNA from 13 species